AGAAGGGUCACGGAACCCUACAAUUUUUUGCAGAGGUGCCCGAAAUUCCUGCAACUGAAACAUCCAUAGAACAUUAGGCUACGCAUUGUCACCCAACAAAACAUUCCCAAUGACAGAUGUAAAUAGAUGGUCCAGAAGAACGAUCUCGAUUAACACCGACAAGAAACACCUAGCUACGCCCACAAAAGGAGGGUACAAAAAAGCACAUCAAACAACAGCAAGACCGUAACAUCGACAGAAGUAAAUAAAUGAACAGAAGCUGCUAGCAACAUGACCUAUUUCUUCUUCUACCCUACUAGCUCGGCGACCGACGGCAUCGUCUCCCUGGCUGGUGCCGACGUCCGCGCGCGCUGCCACCGCUCCCCGGACAUCGAGCGCAUCUGAUCUAUCCUUCACACACGGAUUCAAGAUCAAAGAAGCUCAGAAUCGUACGCCUGCAGAACACGACUGAAACAAAGAGAGUAGGAAUGAAGAAGCAACCAAUGUAUACCAGGCUAUAUAUCACCGGCCAAUGACCUGAUCAUCGACCCCGACAUGGCGACAUGCCGUAGAUAGAUGUCACGAGCACAUACAUCUCUCUCUGCCGAGCUCGGAUAGAAGAGGGGAGACCAGGAGGGGA
rnacentral:lncRNA from 1 species